AAACAAAAUUGUUCACAAGAAAAAACCCAAAUAAACCCUCCAUCCUAAGACUCUCUAACCCAGAACCCACAUGGAGCAUACAUGUUACAUCACAUGAGCCUUGCCUUUCCCUCAACAAGAAGACACGCUUGGAUCGCUGUAGUUAAUAGAGCUAUUUAGGUUCAACACCUCCCUCCUACCUUUCUUCUUUUAACACGCAAGUUUUACAAACCGAAGAAGGUCCUCUUCAAUGGCAUCCUGAAACUUCAAAGAGGGAUUCUCAACCUCAUCACCAUUCGACACCCCAUUCUUGUCAUCGGCGGGAAUGCUUGAGGAGGUACAACCCAAAUAGGUGGGAGAAACAACCGUCACUACAGGCAAGUGAGGACCAUCCACAAAACCCUCUUGAUCACUGACUUGUGCCGAAGAAACCUCUGAUAGCUGUUGGAGAAGAACAUCCCUGAGACAUAAAGGGCCUUGACUUUAGAAAACUCCACCGGAGAAAAUCCACAUCAACAAUUGUCGGGGUUUGGGUCUUCUUAACAGACUAUGACCUGUGAAUCUCGUCCAGCGAAGUGGCCAGACCAUCGACAACAGGACUUGACGGAGAGGACUAAAUAAUUGGCAAAACUUGGGGCUUCUUCGCAAACUACGGCCUAUGCACCACGUCCAACGGAGGGAUCACAUCCAUCCGAGAAUCCUCUUUGCCACCCGAAGAAAUCACCCCUGAACGAGACGCACCAAAAGUAACAAACCCAGUCACGGAACUAAUCGUAGCCGAGGAAGACCACUCUGACUUAACUGAAUCUGGCGCAAGCAUCAUGAUGGAACUGGGCUGAAGUGCCAAAAAAUCAGGAAGAGUGCUCACCGGGUCGAGCCUAUCUCGUUGAACCUUCGAAAAAACCUCAGACCCAACCCCCGGCAACCCCAUCACCGAGUCUGCCACCGGAGAAAAAACGCAAGCACCCCCCGAACUUGAUGAUAACAUUACUCACCGGGUCAACCCCAAAACCUUCCUCCGUCAAGACCUCCGGCGAAGAAAUCAAAUCAGCGGCUUCGCAGGCUUCUUCCCGACCCGAAAAACCACGUCUAGGACCUUUGGGCUGCAAGGAAGGCCUGAAAAUGAGCUUGAACUCCUGUCCGACGACUUGCAAACUGGUUUAAGCUGGAGAAUGGGCUUCUUGCUGCCAGCCUUAAAACCCAACCCAACUAAACGACCCAUACAACUUCUAACCUGGUCUAACCCAAAUCGACAAAGCCCUAGAAGCUUCUUCAACCAACGAUUUACAAAACUACCCUUCGUCUUCUUCACUGUUGCGCUGGAAGCUACCGCCAACGACCCAGAGGACCAAGACUCAAACUCAAAACAAUUCAACCGCCGAUCUCACCUCCUCUCCACCAUUUGCCAACUCAUUACAAGAAACAUUCGGUAGUAUAUCAAGAGGGAUCACCGACUAAGACCUCAAACCCACAACCUUCCCAUCAACGCUAGCUGCCGAGUGUAGGACUUCCGCGAAAGAGCGACUGGAUGAGAGUACCACCCGCUUCUGUUUACCCUCCGGAGCGGACACCACGGGUAUUAGAGACCGAUCCUUUGCCUUGAGAAACUCCAGCAACUGCUGCAGCUCAGGGCGAGCGAGCUCAGUGGCAAGAUGGAGGAGAUUCGAAGAAAGAUUAAACUGUUGAGGGAAAAAGUGGAAUAUAAAGUAAGACAGUUUCAAAUGGAAAUGGACUCAUCCCAAACACAGUUGGGGGAAAACAUGGUAUCUGAAGUCAGAGAGCUUCAGGUAGAACUAACAGCAUUAGAACAAGAGUUCCAAGAAGUCCAAGAGUUCCAAGAGCAGAUCCAUCGUCGUAGGAAAUAGUUCCACCAUCGUGUAGGAACAAAGAUACACUUGUUUCUAAACGUUUUUCAUUUUAUAGAUGAAUCUGUUUCUUAUAAAAAUUGAACAAUAUGCACAUCAAAUAUAAUGAAAACAAUUUCUUAUAA